CAGCAGCCGCGGGAAUACGAAGGGGGCUAGCGUUGUUCGGAUUUACUGGGCGUAAAGGGCGCGUAGGCGGACUGAUAAGUCAGGGGUGAAAUCCCAAGGCUCAACCUUGGAUCUGCCUUUGAUACUGUUUGUCUUGAGUUCGAGAGAGGUAAGUGGAACUGCGAGUGUAGAGGUGAAAUUCGUAGAUAUUCGCAAGAACACCAGUGGCGAAGGCGGCUUACUGGCUCGAAACUGACGCUGAGGCGCGAAAGCGUGGGGAGCGAACAGGAUUAGAUACCCGCGUAGUCCCUGUCUCUUAUAC
rnacentral:rRNA from 1 species